UAGUUGGAUUUCUGAUGGGAUCGGCCCGGUCGGCUCCGAAAGGGGUCGCACUGGUGGCCUGUCCGGUCAUCCUCGAGGGGAGGUUUCCUGGCAUUCAUUUGUCAGGGGAUCGACGCUCGUCGUUUACUGUGAACAAAUUAGAGUGUUCAAAGCAGGCUUAGGCCGUUGAAUACAUUAGCAUGGAAUAAUAAGAUAGGACUUUGGUGGUUUAUUUUGUUGGUUUGCACGCCGAAGUAAUGAUUAAUAGGAGCAGUUGGGGAUGUCCGUAUUCGAUUGUCAGAGGUGAAAUUCUUGGAUUUAUUGAAGACGAACUACUGCGAUAGCAUUCAUCAAGGAUGGUUUCAUUAAUCAAGAACGAAAGUUAGGGGAUCGAAGAAGAUUAGAUACCUUCGUAGUCUUAUACCAUAAACUAUGCCGACUAGGGAUUGGCGGUCGCUUGUAUAGGCUCCGUCAGCACCUUAUGAGAAAUCAAAGUCUUUGGGUUCCGGGGGGAGUAUGGUCGCAAGGCUGAAACUUAAAGAAAUUGACGGAAGGGCACCA
rnacentral:rRNA from 1 species